rnacentral:rRNA from 1 species
AGGGAAUAUUGCGCAAUGGGCGGAAGCCUGACGCAGCGACGCCGCGUGAGCGAAGAAGGCCUUCGGGUCGUAAAGCUCUGUCCUUGGGGAAGAAGGCGAAAGCUUGACGGUACCCAAGAAGAAAGCCCCGGCUAACUACGUGCCAGCAGCCGCGGUAAUACGUAGGGGGCGAGCGUUGUCCGGAAUUACUGGGCGUAAAGGGUGCGUAGGCGGCCUUGUAAGUCAGAUGUGAAAGGCUGCGGCUUAACCGCAGGACUGCAUUUGAAACUGGAAGGCUUGAGUGUCGGAGAGGGUAGUGGAAUUCCCAGUGUAGCGGUGAAAUGCGUAGAUAUUGGGAGGAACACCAGUGGCGAAGGCGACUACCUGGACGAUAACUGACGCUGAGGCACGAAAGCUAGGGGAGCAAAC